CUACGGGUUGCAGCAGUGAGGAAUUUUGCGCAAUGGGGGAAACCCUGACGCAGCGACGUCACGUGAAUGAUGAAGGCUUUCGGGUCGUAAAGUUCUGUCGAUUGGAAAGAAAUGAAUAUCAGUUAAUAGCUGGUAUUUUUGACGGUACCAAUGAAGGAAGCACCGGCUAACUCCGUGCCAGCAGCCGCGGUAACACGGGGGGUGCAAGCGUUAUUCGGAAUUAUUGGGCGUAAAGAGUACGUAGGCGGUUUUGCAAGUCAGAUGUGAAAGCCCGAGGCUCAACCUCGGAAGUGCAUUUGAACGGCAUGACUUGAGUAUGGGAGAGGGAAGUGGAAUUCCUGGUGUAGAGGUGAAAUUCGUAGAUAUCAGGAGGAACACCGGUGGCGAAGGCGACUUCCUGGCCCUAUACUGACGCUGAGACGCGAGAGCGUGGGUAGCAAACAGGAUUAGAUACCCCCGUAGUC
rnacentral:rRNA from 1 species